AUGUGUAUGCAUGAAUACGAAUGAGUGAAAAUGAUAAAUCCGAGAUGGAAAAUGUGAAUAUAACAGCACGAAUCAAACGAAACGAGUAACAAAAAAUGAAGCAACUGUGCUGUGUACGUAUAUACAUACACAUUUACAUACGUUGCACGAGUGCUCGAAGCGGAAAAAGAGGACGAGUAGGGAUUAAAAAAUUAAUAAAAAGGAAGGAAAUUCAAAGGAAAGUGGACGUUUCUGUCGUUGGAUUAGCGAGACAAUGUCAAAAUGCUUUCCGAAGUGAAAAGAUAGGUUGUUGCAAAUUUUCGUGAAACAAUAAUUGAAAUAGAAAUGGAAAACGGAAUCGAAAAAGUAUGCCAUCUGUGGUUUCAAUGAAGUUUACUUUAUAAUACUUUCAAAUACAUAAAACGUAUCAUGUCAUAAAAUGUUAUAAUGUAUAACAUUAAUAACUUAUGAAAAUAUUAAUUAGCAAGAUACGAUACGAUGCAACUAAUUUAACAGAAAUUACAAAAAUUUUAAUGAAAUACUUAAGAUAUAAUUGGAUACCAUACGAUUAAUUAAUUAUUUGUAUAAUUGAUUUUUUAGUGUUCGUUGAAUUAUGAGGUAAUUAUGCUAGAGACAAUUUUAACACGUAUUAUUCUCAUAAAUUACGAUUUAUGUGCGUUACAUAUUAUAGCCGUGAUACAAUUUCCAUUUAUAUUGAUGUACCAAAGGUUACGUCAAAAUGCACUUAUUUCUGCAUAUUUUAACAUUCGUUAUAAACGGUGGCAAUCAACCAUACUGAACAAUCAAUUUUUCUUCAGCCACAUGGAAAAUAGCAUGUACAUCGCCUCGCAAUUACAUGAAAGCUUCGUUUCUGUUGUAUUAAAAAUACGAGAAUAAUACUAUAAUAAUAAGUAACACCAAAAAUCACAUUUUUUGUCUUCGUAUCAUACAAACGAACAAUAUAACAUAUGAAAUUUGAAUUGUUUAUUUAGAAGUUUGCCAGUGUUAUAUUAAAAUUCAAUACGUGACAGACUGAAAUGUUAACAGACCUCAAACAUUAUUAAAAAAAUCUUCUCUGUCAUAUUUAUAACUCGACAACCAAACAAUCUGAGAAUAAUGAACAAUAUAAAUAAAGAAAUAGCUGCAUAGCGUUUGACACUUGCAGAUGCCAAUUAAAAAUAAAUAUCAUCACGUCGUAGUAUUCUACGAUGACUCCAAUAAAGAAUAAAUUCAUCCUGAGUCUCCUAUUCGUAAUUCUCUAACUAAAUUACAUUCUGUCAAACAUAAGCAAGUAUCCAUAUAUUUUUCAGCGCUAGCGUAUAUAACGAAAGUAACAGAGCAAUGUGAUGAAAAUUCAGAACAAAAGAGUAAUAUGUGGAACUUGUUUCAAAGAUGAAAAACCUCGUACAGCUUCAGAAAGACUAUAACAGAAGCCGUUUCAGAGUUGAAAUGAAACGCUCUCAAAAUGAUCGCGAAAAUGAAAACGUGACACAUUGUGUAACGUUUGGCAAACUUUUAACAAAUACGAAUUAAGAGAGAAAAAGAGGAAAGUCGGGAACGAAAGGAAAGGAAGAAAAGGGAAAGGAAGCAAGCGGCAUGUAAGUGGAUAUGUGAGGUGAAGCAAGAAUAACAGAUCGUGGCGGGUGAUUGUUUUGGGGCGUCUGCGCCUGGUUGUGCGAGAGAGGACCACCGAGCGACCAGCAGGAGGCGUCUAAGCCCUCGGGAUGCCAGUCGAUUCCGAGCCGCCGCGCGGUUGAGAUGCGAGCCAUCGUGCUCCUAAAACCUCCGUAUCACCGUAACCUCGUGCACUUCUUAUCUCUCCUCGAUCGUCCAUUUUAUCCUCGAGCUUCCCAUUCGCCACCUGAAUCAUCUUUAUCCUCUCAUUUCCCCCGUGUUGCCCGAUAACGCGCUCGCAAUCGGGUAAAAAUUAUCGCGCAACAUAAAAAAAAUAAUCGCACACGUGAAUCGACGUUUUUUCUUGGAGCGUUUAUUUUCACGGUGUAACUUUCCUCGGAGAAGUUUCUGGAGGGUCUCUUCGGUGUUUCGGUGAUUCUGAAACAAGAUUACAAGAAGUUUCACACAAUUGAGAAGGAAAAGAUCGGACUAAUGGCCGUGAACUCGCCAGAUCAGGUGUUCUCCAUGUUCUCCGGAGGUAUCUUCGGAUUUGGUCGUCGCUGGCUUCAAGGUAUCCCGAGGGAUUAGAAUAACGAGAAAAGUAAACCAGCAUCCGAGAACAAACAAGAAUAUCUUCCGGGAUCAGUCGGUGCACGGUCGCUCGUUACACCGUUGUUGAAUUAGGAUCGGUGACGGCAAACGGAAUAAUUUCCCUGACGCGAAAUAUCUUCGAACGCGACACGGGACAUCUACGAAAAUUCGAAUCGCCGUGAAACGCGGGAAAGUUUGCAGCAACGAGGGGAGAAAGAAAGGAGAACUCGUGAUCAGUAUUUCGAGUUUGUUGCAUGUGCGAACUUGGCGCCACCUAUCCCGCGCUAUACUUAUAACGCGUAUAACGUAUCUAGGUACAGCAUCGUAUAUAUUAACCGUGUCUCUGAAGACAUCCCCGGAAGGGUUCAAUCGCUGUUCUUUUCAAGGGAUGACAUUUCAAUCUGGAUCGUGGCGUUGUUCGAUAAAUUUUCGGAUGGCCAUACAGACGCUGGUCACGACCGUACGAGCUCCACUGGCAUCGCUCUAAUUCAUUUAUUCUAAUUGGAGUUUUCUAAUUGACUACAUUGGGACGCGCCAAGGUGAUACAAAGAGACGGACAGUCCCCUAGGAAAUGAAAUCGAGCAUCGAUGCGACCCGACACUCGCCUAGAACGUAACACGCCUAUACUCAUCAGAGAAUAACGAGAAAAACACGUGCAUAUGUGUAUACAUACGCAUACGACCUAUACAAGUAUAAUUUUGUAUUUAUCUACAUUUAGAAUAUAGUUGUUAAGUAUAAUUAAAAUUAAGAUAAAGAGGGUGAACACGAGUGAUCCUCUUGAAGAUGCUUAUGGUAGCAAAGCUUUAAUCGAAAGUAGACAAAUCCUUUUGCAAAGGGUGGUAGAGAGAGACUCGAAUUCAUCGAGAAAUCAAUUAAUCUGGCGCGCGUAUUACGAUCGAUUUUAUGCCAGUGAAACAGGGCACAACGCCAGUUUUGUCCCCUGACGGCGAUUCAAUCCAGCUCUGACAUUACGACGUCAUUGGCUCACUAUAGUGCCCAAUUACGAAUGCAUCUGUCCAAGACGAAGUCACUUUUAUAGCAGUUUCAUGUUGGAGUGCAAGUAAAGAAAGCAAAAGAUCGACCCGAGACCUCGAGUCUUUUAAAUUCCGACGAAUUUUCAUCCUUUUAUGAAAUUGUUGUAAUCUACGAUCGACCAUCCAAGGUACAACGCAUGGACCAACGAGAAGAGAAACAUUUGUUCAAAACGGAAGAAAAUGAUUCGUAGUUUCUAUCAAAGCAUAUCUCGAUUUAUAUAUAUACCGAUCUGUAUCUAAUCUUUGAUAAUUCACUGGGGCCAUUCUGUAAAGGAAAAAUCAGUCAAUUAAUACAGAGAGAAAGACAGAAGGAAAAGGAACAAGAAAGAAAGAAGAAAAUAAAAAGACUAUCGCGAAGUCUUGAUAUUUUUGAAAUCUUUAUAAAUGCAAUAUCGAACCUGCUGAAGAUUAUCCGCGAGCUUGUUAAGCUCGAUAGCAUCGAACUUCGAAGAGAUUUCUUAAUUAUUGAAAAACGACACACCGAGGUGACUCUCCCGAAUACAAUUGCUUCGUAUUAUCAACGGUGUAUUAAAAAAAAAGCAAAGCGUUCAAAGUGUUAAGUGCGAAACGAUCGGCAGGUAUUGUGCACAGCCACGUUCAGAACGAAGUGUGUUAUAAUACUUGUUGCACGAAAUGUCUUGAGUAGAUGUCAAUGUACUUCUUCCGGUUGCACAACCUGCGCCGUCAGGCGGAGGAGGUACGAAAAAAGCGGCAGAAGGGAAGAUCGAGUCAAAGUGGUCAACGUGGGACCAAUUCUACGGACCAAUCGCAACCGACAGCCGGAUCCAUGCACUGUUGCAACAGGGUCCAUCGGGGCCCGAGCAAGCUCUUCGAGCGUGCUCCAUUGCAGCCCAGCGAUUCCCUCGAUGAAAUAGCUUUUCAAAUACCCAGAGUAUUUUUGGCCGAGAGUGAGGAAUGUGUAGAUUUUGACGUAACGGAGAAGUUGAAAUAUGAAUAUAAAUGAUGCGUGUAGGUGUAAAAAAAAAAAAGAUGUUCAUUCUAGUGGGAAAAUUCUGACAGAAUAUGGUAAAAGAAUAUACAAUAGCAAGUACAUAAAUAAGAGAAAUAAUAAUACCAAAUUUAACUCGAUGUAAUUUGUAAUUACUACAGAAAAUUAAACUUCGAAUAUUAUUUUUUAUGUAUAGUGCUACAAAGUAUAAGAAACAUACUUUCAAAUCUUAUAUUAUAGAACAAGAAAUCCAAAUAGAAUGUUUACUGGAAUAAUUUGUUUUAGUUCUAAAUUCAUUGCAAGAUACAGCUGCGAUUGUAAAUACCAAUUAGACGGUAAUUAAUACAAUCCGACAUAUUUUUUAUUAUUCUGUCGUUAAAUUCAAUCUAAAUCUAUAAACGCGAUAAAGGCCAAAAGCCAAUAAUGUUCAAGUGAUAAAUAUAAAAUUGAUAAAAUUGAUAAAAUUAACAGAAAUUGGUUUCAUGUGUCUAUUGGAAAUCUUCAUAAAUAUAAAAAUAUGAAAUAUAACAAAUAAAAAUAAUUUAGAAACCCUAUAUAAGAGCUUCUAUAUUGAUCUCCUUCCUUAUCUCUUGAAUAAUGUGCUUUGGUUUAAUGUAGAAUUAUUAAGAAUCUAUACUUUUUACACGUGAUGUCUCAAUUUAGAAAGGGAAGGGAUAUGAAGGUUUAUGAAAAUCGAGAAAGUGUUUUCUCAUAAAA